AUGAAUUUGAUUUCUUCCAUUACCGAAGAGAACAAAAGAAUAAAAAGGAAAAGGAUCAUCUUGACAGCGAUGUAUGUUGAGUCAGUUUGUCUUGGCCUAGCUUAUCUUAGUACGCAGAGAGUACCAAAGAGUUUGCGAUGCUUUAGUGAUGAAGAGUUUCGAUAUGUUCAUAGGAAGUACUUGCUGAAAGAAAUGUACAAUGGGUCAGAAGUAACUUGCUAUGAUGAGUUGCACUUAACCAAAAGGAAUUUUCAUGAUCUUUGCAUGAUGUUGCGUAUACAGUGUGGUCUGAAAGAUAGCGUAUAUGUCACUGUAGAAGAAAAGGUUGCUAUGUUCUUGUUGGUGGUUGGACAUGGUAUUAAAAUGAGAGUGUUGCGUGGCACUUACAAGCGUUCUUUAGAGACUAUCAGUAGGCACUUCUCGAAUGUGUUGACAGCCAUUCUUUCCCUAACUGGUGAGUUUAUCAAGCUUCCUGAUCCUUCUAUUGAACCUCCGGAUGAUUACAAAUGGAAGUGGUUUGGAAAUGCCUUGGGAGCACUAGAUGAGUGUCAUGUUGAUGUUUCUGUCGUUGCGGCUGACGAAGGGAGGUAUAUGAACAGAAAGCAAGAUAUCACCACUAACAUGCUUGGUGUUGUUGACUGGAACAUGAAAUUUCUUUAUGUUCUACCUGGCUGGGAGGGAUCUGCAUCUGACUCCAGAGUGUUGCGUGAUGCAAUGAGAAACGACCAUCAAGAUGCAUUUGUUAUACCUCAUGGUAUGAUUGUUUCUCUUGGCAUUUUGUUUCUUUUUGUGUUAAUGUUAGCUAAAUCUAAUUGCUACACAUAG
rnacentral:rRNA from 1 species